rnacentral:rRNA from 1 species
GGGUCAGUAGGUUGGUCGUGCCACCGGUACGUACUGGUCUCACUGAUUCCUCCUUCCUGAAGAACCGUAAUGCCAUUAAUUUGGUGUUGCGGUGAAACAGGACUGUUACUUUGAAAAAAUUAGAGUGUUUAAAGCAAGCUAACGCUUGAAUACAUUAGUAUGGAAUAAUGAAAUAGGACGAUCGAUCCUAUUUUGUUGGUUUCUAGGAUUGACGUA